UGGGGAAUAUUGCACAAUGGGGGAAACCCUGAUGCAGCGACGCCGCGUGAAGGAAGAAGGAUUUCGGUUCGUAAACUUCUAUCAGCAGGGAAGAUAGUGACUGUACCUGACUAAGAAGCCCCGGCUAACUACGUGCCAGCAGCCGCGGUAAUACGUAGGGGGCAAGCGUUAUCCGGAAUUACUGGGUGUAAAGGGUGCGUAGGAGGUUCUUUAAGUCAGAUGUGAAAGCCCGAGGCUCAACUUCGGGACUGCAUUAGAAACUGGGGGACUGGAAUACAGGAGAGGUAAGUGGAAUUCCUAGUGUAGCGGUGAAAUGCGUAGAUAUUAGGAGGAACACCAGUGGCGAAGGCGACUUACUGGACUGUUAUUGACACUGAGGCACGAAAGCGUGGGGAGCGAACAGGAUUAGAUACCCCCGUAGUCC
rnacentral:rRNA from 1 species